CUUGCCUUGGUCGGGUCAACCCGGUGGUGGAUUGAAGCGUGUAGAUUUCUAUUUUGGCUCAUUUCUUCCAAAUAUUAGUACUCCAAUCGCCAUUUUUAAUAACCAUGGACGGCUUUUGGGGUUUGCUACUGGCCCCAUUCAGAUCUGGAAAGACGGUGACUGCGUUGAGGAAUCUUCGACCGAUAUCUGGCAUGCGAUUUGCACAGCUGUGAGAUCAGCAUGCUCCGUUGCACAAAUUAAAGGGGAACAAGUGACCAGUUUGGGUUUUGCUGUUACCUGGGGAAAUUGGUCUUGUGUGCAUUUGCCAUUGAUUCUGAUGGAGAACCUGUGACAGUUUCUUUGACUCAUGACUCAGAGGCGGAAUGUUAUAGUCU